AACGAACGCUGGCGGCAUGCCUAACACAUGCAAGUCGAACGAGACCUUCGGGUCUAGUGGCGCACGGGUGCGUAACGCGUGGGAACCUGCCCUUAGGUUCGGAAUAACUCCCCGAAAGGGGUGCUAAUACCGGAUAAUGUCUUCGGACCAAAGAUUUAUCGCCUUUGGAUGGGCCCGCGUUGGACUAGCUAGUUGGUAGGGUAAAAGCCUACCAAGGCGACGAUCCAUAGCUGGUCUGAGAGGAUGAUCAGCCACACUGGGACUGAGACACGGCCCAGACUCCUACGCGAGGCAGCAGUGGGGAAUAUUGGACAAUGGGCGAAAGCCUGAUCCAGCAAUGCCGCGUGAGUGAUGAAGGCCUUAGGGUUGUAAAGCUCUUUUACCCGGGAUGAUAAUGACAGUACCGGGAGAAUAAGCUCCGGCUAACUCCGUG
rnacentral:rRNA from 1 species